rnacentral:lncRNA from 1 species
UGACAUUUAGAAUUCGAGGUCUAACUACGAAGUGUUGAAGCAGUAAGAGAAAUGGGGGAAAUUAAAUUCAAAUGUAGCUUUCAUUCAAUCAGAAUUUCACUUGAAUUACAUGUUCAAUAGUCACUCAUUGUUCAUAGGCUAAAGAGAUACUUGGAUCAAAGAAAAUAAGAAGAGUGAAAGAUUACCAACAACAUAGCAGUGUUAGUAACAAUGUAACAGUGAAAAACUAGCAGAUCCCAACAAAACUGAUUUCUCCAGACCAUUUCAAACCUAGAUUAAAUCCACAAAUAUCCCCGGCUUCUUGAAUUUAAAGCAUUACACACAGAACCCCAAUGUAACAGUGUUUUUCAGUGUUUUCUUGAUAUUUUUUUCUAGUUUUCAAACCUUUUAGUGUUUAAAGUUUCUGGAGCCAUUUUUUAUUUCUC